rnacentral:sRNA from 1 species
UGCUUUUCUGGAUCAGGGAAUGGUCCGUUUGUGUACUCCACAGCCCGCACAACUGGGCCUCCUCCCAAGCCCCGCCGCUCCAAGAAAGCUGAGUCGGAAGGCCCUGCCCAGCCCUGUCCAGGCCCCCCUAAGCUGGUUCCCUCUGCUGACCUGAAAGCUCCCCACUCCAUGGUGGCUGCAUUUGACUACAACCCCCAGGAGAGUUCCCCCAAUAUGGACGUGGAGGCAGAGCUGCCCUUCCGGGCAGGGGAUGUCAUUACUGUGUUUGGGGGCAUGGACGAUGACGGUUUCUACUAUGGGGAAUUAAAUGGACAAAGGGGCCUGGUUCCAUCCAACUUCCUGGAGGGCCCUGGGCCUGAGGCAGGCGGCCUGGACAGGGAACCCAGGACACCCCAGGCUGAGAGUCAGGACACUCCCACCCUGGGGGGGGUCUCCAUACCUCCCAGGUGCCUUUGGAAGCCAGUUGCCCAGCCAGGCCCAGCUUCCUGGGUUCUCGUUCCUAGAGCUUGCCUCUCCUUGGGAGAACGAGGAGGAGAAGAGUCCAGUGCUAGAUGGAGAUAGAUAUAUGUAGAGAGAGCAACAUGACUGGGGCUGCACCACACAAGGGUCCCCAGGGCCCCCAGGUGGGCCUUGUACCCCCAGCUCUGGCAGCGCCCCCAGGAUUGAACGUGGGGAGCCCCAGGGCAGAAGCAAGAAGGUGUGGGGUUUCUUCUCCAAGGGGAAGCAGCUCCUCAGGAGGCUGGGCU